UACGAAGGGGGCUAGCGUUGCUCGGAUUGACUGGGCGUAAAGGGCGCGUAGGCGGUUCGUACAGUCAGACGUGAAAUUCCUGGGCUCAACCUGGGGGCUGCGUUUGAUACGUGCGGACUUGAGUGCGGAAGAGGGUCGUGGAAUUUCCAGUGUAGAGGUGAAAUUCGUAGAUAUUGGGAAGAACACCGGUGGCGAAGGCGGCGACCUGGUCCGAUACUGACGCUGAGGCGCGAAAGCGUGGGGAGCAAACAGG
rnacentral:rRNA from 1 species